GGUCUUGUGGCCCAGUUGGUUAAGGCGCUCGCCUACGAAGCGAGAGAUUCCAGGUUCGAGUCCUGGCAAGAUCG
rnacentral:tRNA from 1 species